rnacentral:rRNA from 1 species
UUUUUCAUUGUUAUUUUUGCUGCACAUGAGAAACAUGAUGCACGUGCGUUGUAAAUAUAGAAUUCACGUGCGGGGUAAAUAUUUAACGCGAUUUCUUAUUUCUGACGUUUGCGGUGAGUUACAACUUGCGGGUCGAUAUUGACGCGUGUAGGGGCGGCGUUUUGGUGGGAGAGGCACCGCUUUCUCAAAGCGUUCGACGGCGUGUGUAAACUCGUGGCAACGUGGCGACGGAGAGGGAGGGAUGAAAACCGUGGUGAACGUGGGAACGAUUGUUGAGGUGGAGAGAAAAUAGUGUGGUGAAGUAUCCAGCGGUAGCAAUGAAUAUACGGUAGAAUUUGUAGUGGCGCUGGGAGAGGCGAGCAUGAGGGACGAUGGGACAAGAAACAUAUCGGAUGCGAUCAUACCAGCACUAAUGCACCGAUCCCAUUAGAACUUCAAAGAUAAGCGUGCUUGGGCGAGAGUAGUACUAGGAUGGGUGACCUCCUGGGAAGUCUUCGUGUUGCAUUCCC